UACAGAGGUCUCAAGCGUUGUUCGGAUUCAUUGGGCGUAAAGGGUGCGUAGGUGGCGUGGUAAGUCGGGUGUGAAAUUUCGGAGCUUAACUCCGAAACUGCAUUCGAUACUGCUGUGUUUGAGGACUGGAGAGGAGACUGGAAUUUACGGUGUAGCAGUGAAAUGCGUAGAGAUCGUAAGGAAGACCAGUGGCGAAGGCGGGUCUCUGGACAGUUCCUGACACUGAGGCACGAAGGCCAGGGGAGCAAACGGG
rnacentral:rRNA from 1 species